GGGUUGUGAGGUUAAGCGACUAAGCGUACACGGUGGAUGCCCUGGCAGUCAGAGGCGAUGAAGGACGUGCUAAUCUGCGAUAAGCGUCGGUGAGGUGAUAUGAACCGUUAUAACCGGCGAUUUCCGAAUGGGGAAACCCAGUGUGUUUCGACACACUAUCAUUAACUGAAUCCAUAGGUUAAUGAGGCGAACCGGGGGAACUGAAACAUCUAAGUACCCCGAGGAAAAGAAAUCAACCGAGAUUCCCCCAGUAGCGGCGAGCGAACGGGGAGGAGCCCAGAGCCUGAAUCAGUGUGUGUGUUAGUGGAAGCGUCUGGAAAGGCGCGCGAUACAGGGUGACAGCCCCGUACACAAAAAUGCACAUAUUGUGAGCUCGAUGAGUAGGGCGGGACACGUGGUAUCCUGUCUGAAUAUGGGGGGACCAUCCUCCAAGGCUAAAUACUCCUGACUGACCGAUAGUGAACCAGUACCGUGAGGGAAAGGCGAAAAGAACCCCGGCGAGGGGAGUGAAAAAGAACCUGAAACCGUGUACGUACAAGCAGUGGGAGCCUCUUAAUGGGGUGACUGCGUACCUUUUGUAUAAUGGGUCAGCGACUUAUAUUCUGUAGCAAGGUUAACCGAAUAGGGGAGCCGAAGGGAAACCGAGUCUUAACUGGGCGUUAAGUUGCAGGGUAUAGACCCGAAACCCGGUGAUCUAGCCAUGGGCAGGUUGAAGGUUGGGUAACACUAACUGGAGGACCGAACCGACUAAUGUUGAAAAAUUAGCGGAUGACUUGUGGCUGGGGGUGAAAGGCCAAUCAAACCGGGAGAUAGCUGGUUCUCCCCGAAAGCUAUUUAGGUAGCGCCUCGUGAAUUCAUCUCCGGGGGUAGAGCACUGUUUCGGCAAGGGGGUCAUCCCGACUUACCAACCCGAUGCAAACUGCGAAUACCGGAGAAUGUUAUCACGGGAGACACACGGCGGGUGCUAACGUCCGUCGUGAAGAGGGAAACAACCCAGACCGCCAGCUAAGGUCCCAAAGUCAUGGUUAAGUGGGAAACGAUGUGGGAAGGCCCAGACAGCCAGGAUGUUGGCUUAGAAGCAGCCAUCAUUUAAAGAAAGCGUAAUAGCUCACUGGUCGAGUCGGCCUGCGCGGAAGAUGUAACGGGGCUAAACCAUGCACCGAAGCUGCGGCAGCGACACUAUGUGUUGUUGGGUAGGGGAGCGUUCUGUAAGCCUGUGAAGGUGG
rnacentral:rRNA from 1 species